GCCUGCCCAGUGACUUAGUUCAACGGCCGCGGUAUCCUAACCGUGCGAAGGUAGCGUAAUCACUUGUUCUUUAAAUGAGGACUAGUAUGAAUGGCACCACGAAGGUUAAGCUGUCUCCUCUUUCUAAUCAAUGAAACUAAUCCCCCCGUGAAGAAGCGGGGAUAAACAUAUAAGACGAGAAGACCCUAUGGAGCUUUAAACUACAUAGCACUAGCCUUGCACUUUCAGACUCCAGAGAAAUAAAAAUUACCUUGGCUACCAUGACUAUCAGUUUUAGGUUGGGGUGACCGCGGAGUAAAAACUAACCUCCACAUUGAAUGACAAUUACCCUGAGCAAAAAACCACAGCUUUAAGCACCAAUAAAUUGACAUUAAUUGACCCAAUAUUUUGAUCAACGAACCAAGUUACCCUAGGGAUAACAGCGCAAUCCAUUUCAAGAGCUCCUAUCGACAAAUGGGUUUACGACCUCGAUGUUGGAUCAGGGUGUCCCAGUGGUGCAGCCGCUACUAAAGGUUCGUUUGUUCAACGAUUAAAACCCUACGUGAUCU
rnacentral:rRNA from 1 species